GCGGAAGGAUCAUUACCGAGUGAGGGCCCUCUGGGUCCAACCUCCCACCCGUGUCUAUCGUACCUUGUUGCUUCGGCGGGCCCGCCGUUUCGACGGCCGCCGGGGAGGCCUCGCGCCCCCGGGCCCGCGCCCGCCGAAGACCCCAACAUGAACGCUGUUCUGAAAGUAUGCAGUCUGAGUUGAUUAUCAUAAUCAGUUAAAACUUUCAACAACGGAUCUCUUGGUUCCGGCAUCGAUGAAGAACGCAGCGAAAUGCGAUAAGUAAUGUGAAUUGCAGAAUUCAGUGAAUCAUCGAGUCUUUGAACGCACAUUGCGCCCCCUGGUAUUCCGGGGGGCAUGCCUGUCCGAGCGUCAUUGCUGCCCUCAAGCACGGCUUGUGUGUUGGGCCCCGUCCCCUCCCCCGGGGACGGGCCCGAAAGGCAGCGGCGGCACCGCGUCCGGUCCUCGAGCGUAUGGGGCUUUGUCACCCGCUCUGUAGGCCCGGCCGGCGCCAGCCGACACCCAACUUUAUUUUCUAAGGUUGACCUCGGAUCAGGUAGGGAUACCCGCUGAACUUAAGCAUAUCAAUAAGCGGAGGAAAAGAAACCAACAGGG
rnacentral:rRNA from 1 species